AAAACUUCCAGGGAAAACACUGAAAUGCUGUUAACUGGAGCGGUACAUCCCAGAAUCCGUUACAGGCAAGUGUGGGUUUUUUUUACUAACGUUUCUGCCAGGUCCUAAAGAAGAUGAUGAAAGGUGGAUGGGAGUGUGGCAGCUGUCUGGCCGGGGGGAGGGGGCUGGUCCAUAACCUAAGCCAACUUGGCUGUGUCACUGCUCCUGGCACCGUCCCUGCAUCAGUGAAAUUAGCCAUUGCUCUAACAAGAAUAUGUUCAAAUCAUAAACAGGGAGCCAACCUGUAGCCAAAUUAAGCAAAACAAAAUACUACAGUAAAUCACGUUUUUUUUCUUCUUCAGAUUGUUUAUUACUAUAGGUGUCAUGUUCGUUCUGUCUUCAGUUACUAAAGAAAGUAGUGUUCCUACUAUAGCUGGAAGGUACCAGAUAAGCAGAAAUUAGGUAAGCCUCUAUUUGUAUCUGGUUAUCUAGCAUAGGUGCUGAUAUUUUUCUUCAAGAGCCUCUACAAAUGGUUUUCCCUCUUUCUGUUUGUUCUACAUAAGAGAUAGCUACUUUUAUUAUUAUAGCCUUUUCCCCCAAAGGCUCUUCCUCAUCGGUGACUCUACUCACAGCUUUCCUUGGAACGCCAAUGCAGGUGAAAAAGAACUUUCUAAAGCCCAUUACAGAAUCCAACUUACCUUAUUUGUGCCCAGUCAGCUCUGUAGAUCUUCCUCGGCGUUGUCCUCUUCUAUUUAAGCACCUCCUACCCACUAGUUUGGGACGAUGCUGGAAUGCAUGUGAAACCAGUAGAUGAAUAGUGUGGUAAAUAGGACUGGAUAACAGGUGAAGACUCUCACACCAGAGUAAGAAUGGCUUAAGAAUGGCAUGUCUGGUGAAUGAUUUUCUCCCAAAAGUUGGCCAUCUAGAGGAUAACGAUCAAACAUCACCACAGAAUCCAGCAGUAUUGAUGAUUCUCACUUGUAUGUAUGAUCAAGUAUCUUACCGUAAACAUUCUUACCAACAUAUCAGCCUCAACCCUGGGUGCAUCCUUCAUUUUGGAUAUGACUGUUAGUGCAUGCAGAGUGCUGAAGUUAAGACACUGGAUGUUCAACUACCUGGCAGAAGACACUGGAGCAGGGAAAUCAGGGGCAAAGUUUAACUUCCUGUUGAAAAUGUGCCUGUUAAAAACAGAAUCCUGUGACAAAACUAUGCUAAUGAAUAAUUCCUGCAGGAUGAGCAAUUUCCGAAGAGACAUCCAGGGAAUCUUACGGGGUGUGGAGAAGAAAUCUGUGCUUUAG
rnacentral:lncRNA from 1 species